UACGUAGGUGGCAAGCGUUGUCCGGAUUUACUGGGCGUAAAGAGCGCGCAGGCGGUCGUAUAAGUCGAACGUGAAAGCCCCCGGCUCAACUGGGGAGGGUCAUUCGAUACUGUUCGACUCGAAGGCAGGAGAGGGAAGUGGAAUUCCGGGUGUAGUGGUGAAAUGCGCAGAUAUCAGGAAGAACACCAAUGGCGAAAGCAGCUCUCUGGGACGGUACUGACGCUGAGACGCGAAAGCGUGGGGAGCGAACAGG
rnacentral:rRNA from 1 species